rnacentral:tRNA from 1 species
GGGGAUUUAGCUCAGUGGUAGAGCGCUUGCCUAGCAAGCGAAAGGCCCUGAGUUCAGUUCCCA